UCAAGUGCGGCAUGGCCCCUUGGCCGAGAUUCGGUUUCUUGCGUUGCGUACCUGCCCGAUGGCAUCUGUUUUAUUGUCCCAACGACCCUCGUUCGUCCGGUGCUCCCCGUUUUGGUGGGGGUCGCAAGGCGAAACUUGUAACUUGGUCCGUUACCCACGUCGCGUCCGGCUGUCGUGGUGAACGGGGCACUGUUUAAGCCCUCGGAUAUGGAAAGCAUUUAGGGCAUUGACAUCUCAUCCUUGCCCGAUCAUGCAUAAGAUUAGACCCCAAGACCGGUGCACGACUGUCGCUCCCGCCUCGGUUCGGCCGUGCGGGAAGGACGUCGUUGAGGAAUGCUACCUGGUUGAUCCUGCCAGUA
rnacentral:misc_RNA from 1 species